GGGGGGCUGGCGCAACGGUAGCGCGUGAGAUUCCAGCAUCAUCGCCAAUGGUAAUGUAUCGGAAGUUCCUCAAGGUUGAGCGUUCAAAUCGCUCGUCCCUCA
rnacentral:tRNA from 1 species